rnacentral:rRNA from 1 species
AUUGAACGCUGGCGGCAUGCCUAACACAUGCAAGUCGAACGGAGGUAGGGGCAACUCUACUUCAGUGGCGGACGGGUGAGGAAUGCGUCGGAAUCUACCCUAUGGUGGGGGAUAACACAGGGAAACUUGUGCUAAUACCGCAUAAUGUCGAGAGACCAAAGCAGGGGACCGCAAGGCCUUGCGCGAUAGGAUGAGCCGACGCCCGAUUAGCUAGUUGGUAGGGUAAAGGCCUACCAAGGCGACGAUCGGUAGCUGGUCUGAGAGGAUGAUCAGCCACACUGGGACUGAGACACGGCCCAGACUCCUACGGGAGGCAGCAGUGGGGAAUAUUGGACAAUGGGCGCAAGCCUGAUCCAGCAAUGCCGCGUGUGUGAAGAAGGCCUGCGGGUUGUAAAGCACUCUUGUUCGGGAAGAAAUCAUGCUGGUUAAUACCUGGUAUGGAUGACGGUACCGAAAGAAUAAGCACCGGCUAACUUCGUGCCAGCA